rnacentral:lncRNA from 1 species
GGUUUGGAUAUUUAUAGAGGAGACGGUUGUGUAACCGUUUUUGGAAGACUGACCGAUCGAAUCUGACGUAAUUAUUUUGUCGUGAUUCUCCGAAUCAGACAGUUAUACUGACUAGAUUUUCUGGAUCAAAAGGAUAUAACGGCAUGAUUUUCCAAAUCAGACGCUUACGCUUAGAUAGGAACGACAGCUAUGACCAGUUAGUACCUGCCAAAUAAGAAUCAGAUGUGUCUGGAGGUCGAUCAGCCGAUCUUUCGACCAAGGGUCGGAAUAGAUAUUUACCGACUAUGAAUCGGACCGACCACAAUAAUUAGGCAGCUUAAAGGAUGCUAACAUGGACCUAAUGGGUUAUAAUGGGCUUAAGUCUUCAUACAUUAUUGAUCCAUUCUAAAUUAUUCCUAAUACCUAUGAAUGAAGUUUCUCAUCAAAAAUUUUUCAAUGAGGUCCCUUUAAUGCUCAAGUCGAUCAAGAAUCAAAAAAUAG